rnacentral:lncRNA from 1 species
GCCGGGGUUUCCUCACAGCCUGUCAGCCUUGCUGAUCGACUUAUUGUCCAAUGAUGUGACCCAGUCCUGCAGUUCUGGGAGAUCAACCACCAUCCGCGUCAGGUGCAGUCCACAGAAAACUGUCCCUGGAAGUUUGCUGCUGCCAGGACGUGCUCGGAUGGGACCUGUGAUGGCUGCAACUUCCACUUCCUGUGGGAGAGCGCGGCUGCUUGCCCGCUCUGCUCAGUGGCUGACUACCAUGCUAUCGUCAGCAGCUGUGUGGCUGGGAUCCAGAGACUACUUACGUGUGGCGAGAACCC